rnacentral:lncRNA from 1 species
UCAAUCUGAAACCAAAAUGAUUGAAUUAAAUUGUUUCCAAAUAGCAGUAGUAAGACAAUCUAGGCUAAACAGACUGUGUCUUGAAAGAUUUAGGAUUAUUCGGGUGUCACAUACUCCUUUCCGUACUCCUUUCCGGUUUAGAUCCUAACGUACUCGCCAGUCCGAUCCGAGACUCAUCCUUAUAAUUUCAGCUGGUUAUCAGACUCUGAUAUUAAAUGUAAUGAUCCGACUCGCUAACAAUAAUAACUUCUUAGGCUUAAACACUGGCCCAAUAAUUUAUUACUUGUAUGUUCGUCUCUUAUAAAUUUAUCCCACUCC